rnacentral:rRNA from 1 species
UGGGGAAUAUUGCACAAUGGGCGCAAGCCUGAUGCAGCCAUGCCGCGUGUGUGAAGAAGGCCUUCGGGUUGUAAAGCACUUUCAGCGAGGAGGAAGGUGGUGGAACUUAAUACGUUCAUCAAUUGACGUUACUCGCAGAAGAAGCACCGGCUAACUCCGUGCCAGCAGCCGCGGUAAUACGGAGGGUGCAAGCGUUAAUCGGAAUUACUGGGCGUAAAGCGCACGCAGGCGGUUUGUUAAGUCAGAUGUGAAAUCCCCGGGCUCAACCUGGGAACUGCAUUUGAAAACUGGCAAGCUAGAGUCUCGUAGAGGGGGGUAGAAUUCCAGGGUGUAGCGGUGAAAUGCGUAGAGAUCUGGAGGAAUACCGGUGGCGAAGGCGGCCCCCUGGACGAAGACUGACGCUCAGGUGCGAAAGCGUGGGGAGCAAAACAGGAUUAGAUACCCUGGUAGUCCACGCUGUAAAACGAUGUCGAUUUUGGAGGUUGUGCCCUUGAGGCGUGGCUUCCGGAGCUAACGCGUUAAAUCGACCGCCUGGGGAGUACGGCCGCAAGGUUAAAAACUUAAAAUGAAUUGACGGGGUCAUAGCUGUUUCCU